rnacentral:rRNA from 1 species
AUUGAACGCUGGCGGCAUGCCUUACACAUGCAAGUCGAACGGCAGCACGGGAGCAAUCCUGGUGGCGAGUGGCGAACGGGUGAGUAAUAUAUCGGAACGUGCCCAGUCGUGGGGAUAACGUAGCGAAAGCUACGCUAAUACCGCAUACGAUCUAUGGAUGAAAGCGGGGGAUCGCAAGACCUCGCGCGAUUGGAGCGGCCGAUAUCAGAUUAGGUAGUUGGUGAGGUAAAGGCUCGCCAAGCCGACGAUCUGUAGCUGGUCUGAGAGGACGACCAGCCACACUGGGACUGAGACACGGCCCAGACUCCUACGGGAGGCAGCAGUGGGGAAUUUUUGGACGAAUGGGCGCAAGCCUGAUCCAGCAAUGCCGCGUGCAGGAUGAAGGCCUCGGUUGUAACU